AAGCAUGUCAGUAGGACACCUUUUGAUCAGUUGCUUAUAUCUCUCCCAAGCUUCAUAGAGGGAUUCACCUUCCUUCUGUCUGAAGGUUUGGAUUUCCACUAUAAGCUU